rnacentral:tRNA from 1 species
GGUUCUGUAGUACAAUGGAUAGUAUAAGGGUCUCCGAAGCCUUUGAUUCAGGUUCGAUUCCUGACAGAACCACAA